rnacentral:rRNA from 1 species
UACGUAGGGGGCGAACGUUGUCCGGAUUUAUUGGGCGUAAAGAGCUCGUAGGCGGCUCAGCAAGUCGGCCGUGAAAACCCGGGGCUCAACCCCGGGACGCCGGUCGAAACUGCUGUGGCUAGGGUUCGGUAGAGGAGAGUGGAAUUCCCGGUGUAGCGGUGAAAUGCGCAGAUAUCGGGAGGAACACCAGUAGCGAAGGCGGCUCUCUGGGCCGAUACCGACGCUGAGGAGCGAAAGCUAGGGGAGCAAACAGG